UGGGGAAUAUUGCGCAAUGGGCGAAAACCUGACGCAGCGACGCCGCGUGAGGGAUGAAGGUUUUCGGAUCGUAAACCUCUGUCAGAAGGGAAGAAACCGCACUGUGCUAAUCAACAGUGCCUUGACGGUACCUUCAAAGGAAGCACCGGCUAACUCCGUGCCAGCAGCCGCGGUAAUACGGAGGGUGCAAGCGUUAAUCGGAAUUACUGGGCGUAAAGCGCACGUAGGCUGCUUUGUAAGUCAGGGGUGAAAUCCCACGGCUCAACCGUGGAACUGCCUUUGAUACUGCUUAGCUUGAAUCCGGGAGAGGGUGGCGGAAUUCCAGGUGUAGGAGUGAAAUCCGUAGAUAUCUGGAGGAACAUCAGUGGCGAAGGCGGCCACCUGGACCGGUAUUGACGCUGAGGUGCGAAAGCGUGGGGAGCAAACAGG
rnacentral:rRNA from 1 species